rnacentral:lncRNA from 1 species
AAGGAGAAAUUAAGAUGAUUAUUGGCCCUUGCAUUGACUGUCGCAACAUGGUACCGGUAAUGGUGAGCUUUGUAGUUAUUAAUUUGCUCGUACUUUGAUUUUACAUGUGGGAAAAUAUGUCAUACUAAGCUAAGAUAUUUUUUUCAGGAGUGAAGUCAAUUACUUAUUCUGAAUUGAUGGAUGAAGUAUGUUUAUUGCUUUUAAGUUUAGCCGGCUAUGUUUGAGAACUUGAUCUGUUUAAGACAUGACUUUGUGUUUUGUUUAUGACUUGGUAUUUUAAUGGAGAAGCAUUGGUAUUU